AAUAGCGCAAGCGCUGGGAAGAGACAGCUUUCACAGCGGACGAGGUAGAGGAGUAUCGAAAUUCAGCGGAUGCCUCUCGGCUAGCUUCAGUCGCAGAAGUAGAGCAAAAACACCAAGGUAACUAGGUGCACAAAAG
rnacentral:ncRNA from 1 species